GUGGGGAAUAUUGGACAAUGGGCGAAAGCCUGAUCCAGCCAUGCCGCGUGUGUGAAGAAGGUCUUCGGAUUGUAAAGCACUUUAAGUUGGGAGGAAGGGCAGUAAGUUAAUACCUUGCUGUUUUGACGUUACCGACAGAAUAAGCUCCGGCUAACUUCGUGCCAGCAGCCGCGGUAAUACGAAGGGUGCAAGCGUUAAUCGGAAUUACUGGGCGUAAAGCGCGCGUAGGUGGUUUUGUAAGUUGGAGGUGAAAUCCCCGGGCUCAACCUGGGAACUGCCUCCAAAACUGCAUGACUAGAGUACGGUAGAGGGUAGUGGAAUUUCCUGUGUAGCGGUGAAAUGCGUAGAUAUAGGAAGGAACACCAGUGGCGAAGGCGACUACCUGGACUGAUACUGACACUGAGGUGCGAAAGCGUGGGGAGCAAACAGGAUUAGAUACCCGAGUAGUCC
rnacentral:rRNA from 1 species